rnacentral:rRNA from 1 species
UACGGAGGGUGCGAGCGUUAUCCGGAAUUAUUGGGCGUAAAGCGUCCGUAGGUGGCUAGUCAAGUCUGCGGUCAAAGACUGGGGCUUAACCCUGGAAAGGCCGUGGAAACUGACGAGCUAGAGUGCAGUAGGGGUAGAGGGAAUUCCCGGUGUAGCGGUGAAAUGCGUAGAGCUCGGGAAGAACAUCGGUGGCGAAAGCGCUCUACUGGACUGCAACUGACACUCAGGGACGAAAGCUAGGGGAGCGAAUGGG